AAGACGGCAAUCGAAAAAUGAUUGCAUCCUAUAAAAUAUGGAGUGACGUGCGUUUUAAGUGUAAUGGUUAUCAGUUGCCUUAAAAUGCCUUGGAUAUGUUUAGUCUAGCGAGCACCUUACUAUAGUGCACACGAGACUAAACAAAUCAGAUCUUUAUUUGAGCUUGAAAGCCCGCAGGAAGAAGGACAUGCAUUAAGCAUAUGGAGCGUGGAUGUGAAGACGUGCUGUUUACUUUCACACAAAUCAUAUAACGUGCUUACCGUGUAUUCUUUACUUGGGAAUAACGAUACUAUAAAGGCAUUUAUGUGUAAUGUUGCAUUGACAUUUGACUUCAGUUCUCGAGACUUCUUUGAAGCAAUGUUGUUGUUUCAUUAGGUGAACACGCAGACAGAUCUGAACCCGAUCAGCAUUCUAGGGCUCCCUUUGAAGAACAAUUUGCAGUUUUUAUAGUUUCUUGUUUUCACUUGUUCCGUUGCUUCUAUUGACAUCACUCUGAAGUAUUUGUUUUUGAAAGCAGAACAAGAUAAAAGAACUCAAAUCGGUGAAUGAAAAAAAUCGCUUAGUUUAUUUUAUCUUUUUCAUUCGUCCAGAUAAACAAAUGCUUCAAUAGAACUUUUUUCUUAUUGAUGGAUAUGGCUCUAUCACAUCAACAUUUCAAGAUGACACUGAAAAUGUUUAGGUAAUAGACAAUCCUCACCUGGUCAGGGCAAAAAAUCUCAAACAGAUCGGCCCACAAGAGGUAUAACAGACAAGGAGCAACUCGAGCUAUAACCGAUAACAAAAAAUCAACAGGUCGACCCACAAUAACAGACAAGCUACAGGUCAGCCCACAAUAAAUAACAAGCACACAAAGGCCCACAGUGUUAUAGAGCUGAGAGCAUUGUUGGCUUGUGGACCAGCGCUAUGCUUCUAUUCCACACAUGCUUUCCCUAAAGUGGAUAUUGGUCAACACAGCUGAUUUCCAAGUGCUUCGGUCGUUCGUCACGCCAAGAAAACCUAUGAUUUUAAAGGCUUGACCCGAGUCUAAAACUGGUCACAUUUAGCCGCACUCGAGUAUACCUUUCCCUUACUCGGCUUGUUAGUUUAAUCCUCAUUAUCAAGGAACGCUUUCUUAUCGUGGGCGUUCAAACCUCUCCGUGAAAUUGCCUCCUGGAUCGGGUAGCACACGCUCGCGCGGGGAGGGAAGGGAAAAGAGGUGGUGCAGGCGUGAUGGUGGUGGCGGCGGAUUAAUGCAGUGUUUAUUGCCAAGGUAAUCAAGGCGGGCGGCGUGUUUGCCCCUCGUGGAGCGUACUCCACGCAGCAUACGUCAGCCCAUCGAUCAGCCCGCGUGUGGUCACCUCUAAAGGGGCGUGCAGGCCAGCACGAGGCUCGCGUUCUCGCAUUCUCGCGUUUCCGCUCUCGUCGCGCCUGGCAUGUCGGGACACUUGGUGACAAAGCGCGCUGACGUCAGCCUAUGGUAACCGACACCGUCGUUCUUCUCGUCUGCACGGCAGGCGGCAACCGGUUGAAUGUCAUUUGAAAAGGUAAUUUAGAUCCACGGGCCUGUCACUGCGCAAUAUCGCCGAAGCUGGGUCGGUUCGAAUAUAUGCUGUGAAUCAAGAGACAAGGACGGUCUGGAAUGGAGCCACGCAGCUAGCACCCUUCACCACUCACGCCUGAAAUGCAAAAGUAUGGCGCAAGCUUAGUUUAUACAAACGGUUCUACUGUGCGGCCAGCAUGGCAAAGUGACUCAACACUUCUGGUCAGUGUCCACACACCUCCAUCCCACGGGGCAGCUGUCAGCGGAAGUUUGACCGAACCAGCGGCACAUUUUGGUGGGAGUAGUUCCCCUGACGUCAUGCCUCGCAACAAGAUUAAACGUGGCAUUAAAAGAGGACGGCAGCAACGAUACUUCAAAUGUUUGUGAUCUUAGCUGGAGGUCGGAGUCACCCAGGGAUGAUUUAUGCUGCAGAAGUUUGAGGUGGUGAGUAGUAGUAGAUGGAGAAGCAGAAUCUGGCGAUCGUGAACAAAACGAUCACGAGCAACACAAUAACUUUCCAUUUAAAAAGUUGAAAGAAGUUAAUUGCAAGCUAUGAAGAAUGGACUGUUCAGACCUAUUGACCUAGACUGAGUAUUGAAGGAGCGUUCCUUCAUGUUUCCUUCUUUGUUUAUUGUUUCAAACUGUAGCAGGCAUUUACUGUUCUACCCGUCGAUCCGAUCAAAACAUGGGUCUAAGAUCUUUACAAUUAAAAUUUCUUCAAAGGACACGGCAACUUUUAGACAGUUUUUUGGUUAAAAAGGGAUUCCGUUAUAUUAAACAGCCAUUUACAUUCCUAGAAUUCAAAUGAAAAUAAGAAAGCCAUCCAACGUGCAGAUGCCAGAUACAGGAUGGUUAUCAACGGGACAGGCUUGCGGUCUCUCAAUGUCGAGUCUUACUACUGAAGUAUCGUCUGCACGGAUCACACUUAUCUGCAUCUUGCGCGCCUAUUAAAUAUUUGCACCUCACCAUUUAUCGUCCUUAUCAUAUAGGGAACAUUAAAUGUGCAGUUUGAAAAGGAUGUUUGAACAAUUUCUUCAUAUCUUUUGAAAUAUCUAGCUUCUAGCUAGGCGACUGUUGUAUGACAUGUGAUUCAGGGGGGAAGGCAUGAAAACAUUUCAAAACACUAAGAAUAGAAUAAGGACGCAGAAGACGACUUUCAUUGCAUCCUUCAGUAUAACAAAUUUGUUAAACAUUUCAACAAAUAUACGUUCCAAAAGCUUCUCUGUGCAAAAAGUAAUAUAAAAUGUUGUAUAAAAUGUCAAUUCCUUGCACUACUGCUUGAAAGUAUAUCCUAAAAUGGCCAGCCUGCUUCUUCCUUACAUACCUCACUCAUCAUUCACACUCAAAGUCAGGAUUUAAACGUUC
rnacentral:lncRNA from 1 species